rnacentral:tRNA from 1 species
CUGAGGAAGUUAUAAGACCUGCUAACUCUUUAAUCUGGCAUUAACAACCAGCCUCCUC